UACGGGGGGGCAAGGCGUUGUUCGGAAUUACUGGGCGUAAAGGGCUCGUAGGCGGCCAACUAAGUCGGAUGUGAAAUCCCCAGGCCUCAACCUGGGAACUGCAUCCGAUACUGGAUGGCUUGAAUUCGGGAGAGGGAUGCAGAAUUCCAGGUGUAGCGGUGAAAUGCGUAGAUAUCUGGAGGAAUACCGGUGGCGAAGGCGGCAUCCUGGACCGACAUUGACGCUGAGGAGCGAAAGCUAGGGGAGCAAACGGG
rnacentral:rRNA from 1 species